GUUGGCGCAAAUUUUCAGCCAACCUGGGAUACAUUUGUGCUUCAGUUGGAAGCUAGGGCAGGGAAACACUGAGCUGAGUCCCUUCAGCUCACCCAGUCCUGUCACUCAGGCCUCGCUAGCCUAUUAGGGCCUCCAGUGGACCUGCCAGUCAGAUGGUAGGGUUCUUCCUCUAGGCAGGAGGCAUCUGGCUCAGCUCCUAUGCUGAGGAAAUGGGAAGCUGGCCGGUGUACUGUGCGGUGGGGUCUGGGAUCUGCUGUGUCUAGAGCGCUCCGCAGUCCCCACAGGGAGAUCGAGGGGCUUCUGUUCCCAGACGGGAGGAGUGGCCGGCCAUGCUUCUGUAGCAGCCCGGUGACUCUGGAACUCUGCAGUUCAGCAAAAGAACCCCAGGGAUGGAAGUCUCUGAAUAUCACAGUGACAGUGGUACAACAAAAUUACCAGGGAACACAUGACCAAUUUGUAUACAGACUAAAAGUAAGAAAUGCUAUGGGAAAGAGAAUACUACUCUUUUGGUGGUCUGGUUGUCCAAGGGUUGAAACUUGUGUUUGACAUGAAAUUUGGGUACAAGCAAUCUCCAUAAAUGGACACUAAGCACAAUGUAAACCAAGAUGGGAAGACAAUCUAGGUAAAAAACAAAACAAAACAAAACAAAACAAAACAAAAAAACUCUAAAGAAGAGGAGCGACAGAAAGAGACAAAGAAACUGAAGAAAGAAAAUAUUUCCCUUAAGGAGAAGGGGGCCAAGUUCUCAGGCUGACCUACAGGCUCCCUUAAUAUAAUCUGCCCGACCCUGACGAAGGAUAUUGGACAAUGAGAGACUUCAAUCUUGGGUUUAAGUCCCUAUCUUUCCUCUGCAUGCAUGGCAUUAUCCACUGUAUCCCUCCCCACCCAGUUCACUGAGAGAAUCUGUGAAACAUUGAAUCAGGUCUGGUGGAAGGAACAAAGCUAGUUUUAUGGUGUGGUUAAGUUGGUCUUAGACAAUGACAUGAGGCAAUCCUAUUCUGAGUAAAAGUGCCACAAAAAGCUCCUAAGAUUUUAUUAGGAUGAACUCUUUCAAAAACUUUGUUUCCAAAAGAUUUAAAUUCUAUCCCAUAUGGAGGGUGACAGAUCCAUCUGAUGAUCUCAGCUUACUAACCUGGGAUAGUUGGGGUAAGAAACACCUUGAGUUUGGGCACUGAAAGCUUAAAACCUCUGGAUGACAAUGCUUGGCUUCCACAGUUACAAUUACAAUGAAAGAUAUAUAAACUCAACUGUCUCUGACCAAACCAUGGACUCCUUUUCCUAUAUUCUUUUGCUAUUUAGGGCCUACUUGUCUAGGCCAUAGGCAACAUCUCCUCCUAUAUUCAUGCUAAACUAACUAAAGUGGGUUUUUUAAGGAAAUGGUGUGACAGUGCAUAUUUAACCUGUCAUAUGUGUGUAUCCUACAGGGACUUGUGCCUGAUGGGGAAUGGGCUCACCUUCCCAUGGGGCUGAGCUAACCUUGAGCAGAAAGGAACCAUGUUGUCUGCCCCCUUCUUUGCUGGUGACCUCAUCAAAACAGAAGGAGCCAUGCCAGUCAUAACUUGGGAAUCUUUUUUGCUAAUGGAUUCAUAAAAUGUAAGUGACAUGUGACUUCUGGAUUACUGUGGCAUAAAACAAAAUGGAGAUAUCCAUAAACACACAAUGAAUAUAGACUAGAAAAUGGUGGAAAUCUCAUGGUCUGUCCCAGGUAAGCAAGGCCUGUUCAUCACCAUGUGAGCAAGGGCUCCUCAGUUCACUUGGACUUGCAACACCCUCCCCUGUCACUGUGACUAGGCCUGUGGUUGGGGAAGAGCCAGAUGAAUAACCACCAUAAACAAUGGGCUGCUGUGGCUAUUUCUGUCCUUGCCAGGCCCACGAACAUAUAAAGAGACAUUAUCUACUUGGAACAAAUGCUGUCUGCUUAGAACACAAGAGAAGUGAGACUCCAACAUUCCAGGGCUCCUAAACUUUCUUCUCAGGCUGCUGAGAAAAGGAUGCCCUGAUGAGGGGACAGAAGACAUCCUGAGACCCAGAGUUACCACAUGCUGGUGCCAUACACCCUGAAGUUCUGGAGCUUCAGGAAAGACUAUGGACAUUGGCCUGGGCCAAUCCCGUCUCCCUUCACUUACUGGGUUUCCCGCCAUACCCCAAUGACCACUCUCAACUUGGAUGAAUUGAAAUCAUGAAUCUCCUGCCUCCACUUUCUAAGUGGUAUGAUUAUAGUCUUGUGCCACCAUGCCUGGCUUAGGUGGCUUCUUUUCAUUUAGUGAGUCAUUAGAAUGGGGGUGCAAGGAUGAUGAACAGUUAAACAAACAUAUUCAAGAACCACUUAUCUCUGUGAGCCUGGGUUUCACUAUCUGUAGUAUAAGGGCAGAAUUCUGCCCAGGUCCUUUGAUUAAGUUAUACAAGAGUCAAUGAUAAAGAAAGACAGUACUGCUCACAGUUGGAAGACAGUAAGACAGGAGGGCUGAUGGGACCCUUCUUCUUUUACAGGAGUUAGGACCAGAGCCUGUGUCGUACCUACACUUAAUCAGCCAGGCUCAGUUACUCUCCUCAAUAAGUGAAUUAAAAGAGCCAAAUUAGUUCACUGUGAUGUGUUAUAAUACAGGUGCUCUGCAGACAAGGUGGGUAAAUCUCUCUGAUGUUUUGGAAGAACCUAGUCUAUUUAGUGAGUUCCAGGUCAGCAAGAGAGUCAUAGGGAGACUGUUCUUUAAAAUUUUUUAAAAUGACAAUAAAAAAGAAAAAAAAGCAAAUUUAUCAUGAAAAUCAGAAACAUGGUAUAUAUUCAGUAUGACGAAAUUUGGAACAGUGAUGAAGAUAGAAGUUAACUAUUCUUGUCAUCCUGUUUUGAUAGAAAGCAAGAGGCAUUACACAAGCAAGAAACCUAACCAAACCAUACAAUGAAUUUCUACCCAUCCUUUAAAGUCUCCCUCAUUCUUAGCUUCUCUGUCUCCUGCAAGGCAUUGUUCAGGUAGGGUGCAAUAUGGACUCUGUUUUUUCCCCAGAAUGUUAUAGUAAGAGAAAUUUGUAUUUAAUUCAGUCCACUGUUUACCUAAUUGUUAGCCAAAGGGAAACAUAAAUGUCUCUUUAGAAUAUCCUAACUAUUGUCAGGCAGUCAGUUGAGAGGGAUAAGAUUACAGGCUGGGGACCACCACAUGGGGGGAUGCAGGGUGCUGUCAGUGGCAGCUACACUGUAGUUGCCAAGAAUAAGGAAAGAGUGGAAGACCUGGAGGUGGCUAACCCACUACAGCUGUGUAGAUAUAGAGAGCACAGGAAGAGCCAGCUUGUCCUCAGGUACACCCUGAUCAUUGCCCUCUGGCUCUCACAUUCAAAACUCCAUCCCUAACAGUUCACCCAUAAUCUCUUUGUAAAUGCCUGAUUGCAUUUAUAGUGACUUCUGUUUAAGUCUCAGGAUCUCCUGGUAAUCUGGAUUUCAUCUGGAGUCACCAUCACUCAGGGACACUAAUUGAAGCUUUUGAAGACAUUAAGGAAACAGAAUAUGAUGCCAGUCAGACAAGUUGGUUUUCAUGCCUCCAAGUUCCUUUUCUCUCCUUACAGGAAGCUUAAACUCCAGCAGGUAUACACAGAGGCAAGACUCAUACACCUAAAUUACUUUAAAUUCUUUUAAAAAUAAUAUAUACAUGAAGAAAACCUUUUUAACAAUCUGGGAUCCCAAAUAUAUCUGUCUUUUCACUAUUUGCAUAUCUGGUGCCCUAGGAGGCCAUAUGAGGCAUCAGAUUUCCUGGAACUGGAAUUACAGGUACUUCUGAGCUACCUGAUAUAGGUGCUAGGAACCAAAUAGGGGUGCCCAACAGGAGCAAUACUACUGAGUAAACUCUUCAGCUCCGCAAUAUGACAUUAAAAUGCAUAAGAUAAAAAUGCUUCAUUACUCCUUCUGUCUCCUAUCACUUGAAAAUGAUGAAAGUCCCCACUAGAUGGUUGUCAAAGGAUUUCAGUCAGAUAUUAGGAAAUUUUCCAUAAUUUUAGAUAUGCAUUUCCUUUUUGUAUUCUUUUAAGACAGCCAUGGCUGCCCUGGAACUCAUUAUGUGGACCAACCUGACCUCAAAUUCAGAGAAAUUGGCCUGCCACUGUCUCCCAAGUGCUAGGGUUAUGGGGAUGCACCUCUAAUACAAGCUGAGAUAUGUUUUUACAUGGCCUAUCUUUGAAUCAGAGAAUUAACAAGCGUUUACAAGGAACCAGGGAUGUUUUGGUAAAGAGUAAUACUUCUUGAAAUUUUAUAGUAAUAAACUGGCAAAUCAUUCCAUAUGUUCUCAAUAAUAGGGUUAUUUUCUUUGCUUUGUUAAUUUCACCCAAUUAAAAAUGCUUAAGUAUGUUUAUAUUUUUACCUGAGCCAUAUUGUGUAUAUGGCAAUGAGAGGACAACUUUAAAGGUGUCUAUUAUCUACUUCUCCUAUGUGAGUUUUAGAGAUGAAAUCCAUAGUGCUGUUUGGCUACACAUGAACUCAAUGGCACUUAGUUGGCUUUAAAAAUUAUUCAUGUAUGUGCUGGUGUAGGAGUGUGCAUAUGCCACAACCCAAGUGAAGAAAUAAAAGAAAAAUUUCUAGGA